GAUGAACGCUAGCUACAGGCUUAACACAUGCAAGUCGAGGGGCAGCAUUUUAGUUUGCUUGCAAACUGAAGAUGGCGACCGGCGCACGGGUGAGUAACACGUAUCCAACCUGCCGAUAACUCCGGAAUAGCCUUUCGAAAGAAAGAUUAAUACCGGAUGGCAUACGAAUAUCGCAUGAUAUUUUUAUUAAAGAAUUUCGGUUAUCGAUGGGGAUGCGCUCCAUUAGUUUGUUGGCGGGGUAACGGCCCACCAAGACUACGAUGGAUAGGGGUUCUGAGAGGAAGGUCCCCCACAUUGGAACUGAGACACGGUCCAAACUCCUACGGGAGGCAGCAGUGAGGAAUAUUGGUCAAUGGGCGCGAGCCUGAACCAGCCAAGUAGCGUGAAGGAUGAAGGCUCUAUGGGUCGUAAACUUCUUUUAUAUGGGAAUAAAGUUUUCCACGUGUGGAAUUUUGUAUGUACCAUAUGAAUAAGGAUCGGCUAACUCCGUGCCAGCAGCCGCGGUAAUACGGAGGAUCCGAGCGUUAUCCGGAUUUAUUGGGUUUAAAGGGAGCGUAGGUGGAUUGUUAAGUCAGUUGUGAAAGUUUGCGGCUCAACCGUAAAAUUGCAGUUGAAACUGGCAGUCUUGAGUACAGUAGAGGUGGGCGGAAUUCGUGGUGUAGCGGUGAAAUGCUUAGAUAUCACGAAGAACUCCGAUUGCGAAGGCAGCUCACUAGACUGUUACUGACACUGAUGCUGAAAGUGUGGG
rnacentral:rRNA from 1 species